GAGUAAUAUAUCGGAGUACCUAACGAUGGGGAGUAACGUAAGCGAAGUUACGCUAAUACGCAUACGAUCUAUGGAUGAAAGGCAGGGGACCUUCGGGCCGUUGUUGCGUCCUGGGGCGGCCGGAUAUCUGAUUAGCUAGUUGGUGAGGUAAAGGCUCACCAAGGCGACGAUCAGUAGCUGGUCUGAGAGGACGACCAGCCACACUGGAACUGAGACACGGUCCAAACUCCUACGGGAGGCAGCAGUGGGGAAUUUUGGACAAUGGGCGCAAGCCUGAUCCAGCAAUGCCGCGUGAGUGAAGAAGGCCUUCGGGUUGUAAAGCUCUUUUGUCAGGGAAGAAACGGCUGUGGCUAAUAUCCACGGCUAAUGACGGUACCUGAAGAAUAAGCACCGGCUAACUACGUG
rnacentral:rRNA from 1 species